AGCGAACGCUGGCGGCAGGCCUAACACAUGCAAGUCAAGCGCCCCGCAAGGGGAGCGGCAGACGGGAGAGUAACACGUGGGAACGUACCCUUUGGUUCGGAACAACCCAGGGAAACUUGGGCUAAUACCGGAUAAGCCCUUACGGGGAAAGAUUCAUCGCCGAAGGAUCGGCCCGCGUCUGAUUAGCUAGUUGGUGGGGUAACGGCCCACCAAGGCGACGAUCAGUAGCUGGUCUGAGAGGAUGAUCAGCCUCACUGGGACUGAGACACGGCCCAGACUCCUACGGGAGGCAGCAGUGGGGAAUAUUGGACAAUGGGCGCAAGCCUGAUCCAGCCAUGCCGCGUGGGUGAUGAAGGCCCUAGGGUUGUGAAGCCCUUUCGGCGGGGAAGAUAAUGACGGUACCCGCAGAAGAAGCCCCGGCUAACUUCGUGCCAGCAGCCGCCGUAACAC
rnacentral:rRNA from 1 species